GUAAAGAUAUGAGCUUUUGAUAUGAAUUGUGUUAAGUAUUUAUCUUAAAAUCUUAAAAAUUUGUGUUUUGAUAUAUAAGUUGAAUUAGUGAAAGUAAACUUCUUGACGAUAGUUUAGGAGGAGUAGUGUAAUGAGUGAUAAAUACUGUCAUCUGAUCCUGUUGAAAUGGCAUCUCCACUUGGGUGAAAUUUUACAGAAUUAAUGUCAGAAAUAUGACCUUCAAAUGAUUGGACCACAUGACCAGAUCUCAUGUCCCAAAUAAAUGCCAUUUUGUCACAACUCUAUAAGAAAUUAAUUAAAUUAAAACUAAGGAGAUAAAUCAAUGGACAUGACAUCUCCAGUGUGUCCAUGAAAACUUUGUAAUAAUUGGCCAGAUUCAACAUCCCACAAUGCACAGGUAGAGUCUCCACUUCCAGUAAGUAUUUGUUGAUCUGAACGUGGAAAUGUGCAACAAGACAUAUAACUGGUAUGAGUUCCGACUGUUUUCUUCCUUGAUGACAUGUCUUCUUCGACGGAUAUUGGAUACACAGUAACUUUGUUAUCUAGACCACUACGGCCCGUAAGCACAAGACAUAAUCCAAGUUGUGGGCAUAGUAACAGCUUGUUCUUUAUUAGUCGUAAAAGCAUCCCAAAUAAUUAGUUUGCCAUCCUGUUAAAACAUCAUGUUAAUUUUUCAAAACUAGAUUUUCAUUGCUAGACCUGUAAUACCUGCGA